UGUGCUGUGCCCAAGUGCUGGAGGCGUGUGCUCGAGUAACAAUAGCUUCAGUUAUCCCCGGCCCCUUGCACUUCGUCAAGAAGCGGGGCACCAAGGACAAGCUAGCUAUGGUUGGAAAACUGUCGCUCGUAGAAAAUUCUGCCGGUGGGAAAGUUAGCAGUCGACGGCUGUCAAGAACAUGUUCUUCAGUAGCCUGUUCAAUCCACGGGAGGUGAGAGUCCUCAAGUCACUACACAGUCAUCAGAAGCUGAGAGAAGUGUAGCCCACCCAUGCCCAGUGAUUGUUUUUGUAGUUUGGGGAACUGUUGAGCUCGGAGCAGGCAACUAUCGAAUUUAGGCUGCGACCCACUUCAUGAACAAAUGCACUCUGCUUGAAGUGCACUGUUGUUUUCGCAUCGUCCUGAUAUGAUCGAGAGUGCUGUGGCGUUGCAAACGCAAACAGUACCAGGAAAUAUCGUCCGGCGGGAGAAAUAUUUGUGACAUGAGGGCAGCUAGCUAUUACCUGUAAAGACACGGAAACGGCAAUUGGGUGGCCCUGGACAUGUCGGCCGCUGACGCGGAGCGGCUGUUUGACUGUUCACUAGACAAGAGCGAAGCCGCAGGAACACCUCCGCCAAUCUUUGCCCCCCCCCCCCCUACCAGGCUCAGCACGAGCAGCGGCAGCAGCAGGAGGAGGAGGAGGAGGAGAAGCGGCGGAAGCAAGAACAACAUCGAGCGGAAGAGGCACAGCAGCUGUGGCGCGAGUCGCAGGGGCGGGCGGAAUCGGAAAAACAGCAGCGGCAGGCACAACAGCGCCAGCAGCAAGCCUUGGAAGCAAAAUGGCAGUGGCAGGAGGGAGAAGAGCGGCGGCAGCAGGAGCGGCGCCAGAAAGAGCAGCAGCAGCAGCAGUUGGAAGAAGGUAACCUGCUCCUGCAGGAGCACGUCGGUGCAUUGCACCAGCCACAGCGGCACGAAGUACACCAGCCCCAGCACCAGCAUGGUCGUGCGGGGAGAAGGAGACGGCGGCGGGGGGCAGGAGGGCCUAUGUUUUCGCCCACACAUUCAUACCACGGCCAGAUAAUAAACAUCAGGAAUGUUUUCACUGGGCGGCUGCCAAGGGGUCGGGGACGGGGUCGUG